rnacentral:rRNA from 1 species
UUUGGAGGGCAAGUCUGGUGCCAGCAGCCGCGGUAAUUCCAGCUCCAAUAGCGUAUAUUAAAGUUGCUGCAGUUAAAAAGCUCGUAGUUGAAUUUCGGGACCAAUAUGUCGGUCGUGCUUUUGUACGUACUGAUAUAAUUGGUUUCUCCCUUCUGAAGAACCUUGAUGUCAUUAGUUUGGUGUCUUGGGGAAUCAGGACUGUUACUUUGAAAAAAUUAGAGUGUUUAAAGCAGGCUCGCGCUUGAAUACAUUAGCAUGGAAUAAUGAAAUAGGACGUUUGAUUCUAUUUUGUUGGUUUCUAGGAUCGACGUAAUGAUUAAUAGGGAUAGUUGGGGGCAUUAGUAUUCAAUUGUCAGAGGUGAAAUUCUUGGAUUUAUUGAAGACUAACUACUGCGAAAGCAUUUGCCAAGGAUGUUUUCAUUAAUCAAGAACGAAAGUUAGGGGAUCGAAGACGAUCAGAUACCGUCGUAGUCUUAACCAUAAACUAUGCCGACUAGGGAUCGGAUGAUGUUAAUUUUUUAAUGACUCAUUCGGCGCCUUACGGGAAAC